UCCAGUUUAGUAUAGGGGUAGUAUAUAAGUUUGUUACGUUUGUAGUCCGGGUUUGAAUCCCGGAGGGAGAG
rfam:Rhizopus microsporus genome assembly, contig: SCAF63